rnacentral:lncRNA from 1 species
AGAACAAGACAGCAGACCUUGUGCAAUGCACUCUCCCACGGGCCUCCCAUUCCAAUUUCCCCUUUUUAAGCCUUUCUCCCCAGCCUAAAGUUUUAAGAGGUUUCUGGAGGCGUAAGGAUUCUAUUUAUGUUUAAUGAACAAAAAAAUUAGUUUCAAUGAAAACUUUAUUUGAAAUGAUGAAUUCAAGCUGUUACCAGCCUCCCAAGUAAGAUGCCAGAGACUUCAAACACUGCUGUUGUUUCUCAAGGAAAAGAUCCAGUUAACAAGGAAUCAUUCUCUCUUCUUCAAUAGCUGCUUACGAAAUAAAAACAUCAGUAGGAGGGGAAGGAGGAAGGAAGGAGAAGAAAGAGGAAGAAUAGGAGGAGAAGAGGAAGAGAGGAAGAAGUCGUGAACAGCCCUCCUGCAUUUUGCAUCAGGUAGAAAAGUCAGUUGAAUGUUGGGAAGAACACAAAUACUCACACAUUCCUCCCCAUUCUCUGAAUUCCCACAAAGACUGUUAUUGCUGGGGCUCAUAAAAUUAUACCCCAAAGUAUGAUGCUUUGGCAUCCAGAGUGCUUUGAACUAUAGGAGAUUGAAGGCCCCAGAAGCCAAGUUUCCCUCUGACCUUCUCCUGCCUUCCUGUCUUCCACCCCCUGCUUUUCCCCUGAAGUGAGUCCUGGAAGCCAGAAUUCUUCUUGCCCAAAGCAAGCCGUGACACCCUGGAAAUAUCACUCUAACCUUCCUUGCCUUUCCGUGUGGCAGCUGGCCAUGAAGAAAUUCUCUGACCUACCUUGUUUGAUAGCAGAUCACAAGACCCUGGUUCCAGAGCGGUCCUGCUUUACACCGAGGGAAAGGAAUGUCAUACAGAAAGGCCAAGAAGAAUCUGAAGAGAUGUCCAAUCACCUUUUCACGUGGCUGCCCAUUCUUCAUUGAACCUAAGCAUUAAAAUAGACAGUUUCCCCUGGGUCUUUGGGUCUUCAUUUCUGAAGACUCCAUGUCAUGUAAAACUUUGAUUAAAUAAAUGUAUCAUGCAUUA